UACGUAGGGUGCGAGCGUUGUUCGGAAUUACUGGGUGUAAAGGGUCCGCAGGCGGGCAAGCAAGUCGGUGGUGAAAGUUCAUGGCUCAACUGUGAAAUUGCCUUCGAUACUGCUUGUCUUGAGUUCGAGAGAGGAUGAUGGAAUUCAUGGUGUAGCAGUGAAAUGCGUAGAGAUCAUGAAGAACACCAGUUGCGAAGGCGGUCAUCUGGCUCGAUACUGACGCUCAGGGACGAAAGCGUGGGUAGCAAACAGG
rnacentral:rRNA from 1 species